GACGAACGCUGGCGGCGUGCUUAACACAUGCAAGUCGAACGGAAAGGCCCUGCUUUUGUGGGGUGCUCGAGUGGCGAACGGGUGAGUAACACGUGAGUAACCUGCCAUCGGCUUUGGGAUAACUUCAGGAAACUGGGGCUAAUACCGGAUAGGAGCUCCUGCUGCAUGGUGGGGGUUGGAAAGUUUCGGAGGUUGGGGAUGGACUCUCGGCUUAUCAGCUUGUUGGUGGGGUAGUGGCUUACCAAGGCUUUGACGGGUAGCCGGCCUGAGAGGGUGACCGGCCACAUUGGGACUGAGAUGAGGCCCAGACUCCUACGGGAGGCAGCAGUGGGGAAUAUUGCACAAUGGGCGGAAGACUGAUGCAGCAACGCCGCGUGCGGGAUGACGGCCUUCGGGUUGUAAACCGCUUUCGCCUGUGACGAAGCGUGAGUGACGGUAAUGGGUAAAGAAGCACCGGCUAACUCCGUG
rnacentral:rRNA from 1 species